ACUCCAUUCAUCGGCUUUACUAAUCUGGUAAACCCGCAACAGUUCGCAGUUGUGAAGGCCAGCAGUGACGGCCAGAGAUAUUUAGCGACUAGUUUUAGAGCGCAAGAGGAAUCUCUCUCUCCCGCCGCUUCUCUGCUCCUCGCAGCCUCGAGAAAUCGAGGGAAAAAAAAGGGUGAGUGCCAUACGGUUUGUUUUGUAGAUCGAGGAAGUGAGAAGGGGUUUUGAUUGGACUGGAGAUGGGGGAGGGCGGGGGGUUCCAGUUGGGAACCGUCGGAGCGCUGAGCCUGUCGGUGGUAUCGUCGGUGUCUAUUGUGAUUUGUAACAAGGCGUUGAUGAGCUCCCUUGGCUUCAUAUUUGCCACUACUUUGACAAGCUGGCAUCUUCUUGUUACCUUCUGUUCUCUUCAUGUGGCAUUGUUGAUGAAACUAUUUGAGCACAAACCUUUUGAUCGAAAGGCUGUCAUGGGUUUUGGAGUACUAAAUGGAAUCUCCAUAGGGCUAUUAAAUUUAAGCCUAGGUUUCAACUCUGUUGGUUUUUAUCAGAUGACAAAGCUAGCAAUCAUUCCCUGUACUGUCUUCUUGGAGACUGUAUUUUUGGCAAAAAAAUUCAGUCGGAGUAUUCAGCUCUCACUUACCAUCCUUUUAUUGGGUGUUGGAAUUGCAACUGUGACAGAUCUGCAGCUUAAUUUGCUCGGAUCUGUAUUGUCUCUUCUAGCAGUUGUUACCACUUGCAUUGCACAGAUUAUGACAAACACUAUACAAAAGAAGUUCAAGGUCUCUUCAACCCAACUUUUGUAUCAAUCUGCCCCUUACCAAGCUUUAACUCUGUUCAUAUCUGGUCCAUUUCUUGAUGGCCUUUUAACGAACCAGAAUGUCUUUGCAUUUAACUACACUCCUCAAGUUCUUAUCUUCAUUGUGCUUUCAUGCCUAAUAUCGGUCUCCGUCAACUUCAGCACAUUUCUUGUAAUUGGGAAGACAUCGCCUGUGACAUAUCAAGUUUUGGGUCAUCUCAAAACAUGCCUGGUUCUGGCUUUUGGUUAUGUGUUGCUUCAUGAUCCAUUCAGUUGGAGAAAUAUAUUUGGGAUCUUAGUUGCAAUUGUUGGCAUGGUGUUUUAUUCUUAUUUCUGUACAAUUGAGGGCCAACAGAAAGCUCGUGAAGCAUCCUCUCAAGUGUUGCAGGUGAAAGACGAUGAGUCUGAUCCUCUGAUCGGAACCGAGACUGGAGCUGGCAUAAAUGAUGAUGGUGCAGCUCAAACCGCGCAAGCAUGGAGCUCAAACAAAGAUUUGCAUGCAUGAAAUCUGCCCUAAUGUACAGAAUCAUACAUGCAGACCAGAAAUCAUCAGACCAGUUUGCAUAGCCAGUUUUGGAGAACAAGUUGCUAUAAUUAGGUCUUUGUGGAUGAGAAAGAAAGCUCUCCAAGUUGCCCUGUGGACACUACAUAUGCUGGUGGACCAAUCUCCAGGAACAAACAUGCAACGAGGUUUGAUGUCAUGUUCUUUGCAUCAUUUGGCUGCCCAUAUUAUUUCUUAUGCUAGCUGAUAAGAUCAAACACUUGGCUGCUCAUAUCAUUUCUCAUGCAACAAGAAAUCUUCCGGUUCUUCUUCACUUGUCAUGGCGGUCCUUCCGCCGGUGCAUCCAACGUGUUCGAGAGUUUGCUUCGCUGAACCUUCUUCCAUCAGCCGCGCCAUCGACACCCCAUCUUUCGCCGCAGGGAUCGAGCUGCAAUAAAGCCAAGCCAUGGCCAUCAUCAUUCUCGUCCUCCCACCUUGAAUUAUCCACCUAAUACUCCAUGGCUGUAACCAUCAACGAAGCUGGGACGUUCAUCGUGUACACAAGUGAGCAGAAGAACACAGUGCAGUUCCAACUAGAAUAGAUCCAUGCACAUGCUGCGUCCAUUUCUGUCGCUGCCGGAGGAGGAGAAGGAUCCACUAAGCGGACGGUAUCUGUCUCGCGACGGAUGGACCAAAGUCUUGUCUCUAAUGCGGCCUGCACAUGCUCGGAAGAUUGCCCCAAGGAUUUCGGUUGCAGUGGAUGAUGACCUUACGAUAUAUGUCAGUGGCAGUCAGCAGUGGCUGUGUGACGGUGGGUGGAUGAGUCCACGCCGCCAUGUUCUCUGGCUCCAAACAGCUCACGAGAACUCUAAUAUAGAUUAUGAGGGCCAAACCUUGAAAAGCUUCUCUCAUCCACCCGAUCAAACGCUUCUUAUGUGUGGAGUGAGUGAGAUUAAGGAGAAAAAUUCAAAUGCAUCGAAGGUUUAGCAAGCAUUUGAUGAAGUGAAGAAUCUUAAAAAGGAUUUGCAAGUAGCUGUUCAGAAAUUUGUUGGACCAGUGGCUGACAAGCCAUUCAUUC